rnacentral:miRNA from 14 species
GGAUUUCUCUGUGUAGCCCUGGCUGUCCUGGAACUUGCUCUGUAGACCAGGCUGGCUUUGAACUCAAGAGAUCCACCUGCCUCUGCCUCCCAAGUGCUGGGACUAAAGGCGUGCACCACCAUUCC